rnacentral:rRNA from 1 species
UACGUAGGGUGCAAGCGUUGUCCGGAAUUAUUGGGCGUAAAGAGCUCGUAGGUGGCCUGUCGCGUCGGCUGUGAAAACUCGGGGCUCAACUCCGAGCUUGCAGUCGAUACGGGCAGGCUAGAGUUCGGCAGGGGAGACUGGAAUUCCUGGUGUAGCGGUGAAAUGCGCAGAUAUCCGGAAGAACACCGGUGGCGAAGGCGGCCCGCUGGGCAACUGCUGACACUGAGGCGCGACAGCGUGGGGAGCAAACAGG